GGGCCCGCACAAGCGGUGGAGCAUGUGGUUUAAUUCGACGCAACGCGAAGAACCUUACCUGGGUUAGACAACGGUGGACCGCUCCAGAGAUGGAGUUUUCCCUUCGGGGACUGCCGGUUCAGGUGCUGCAUGGCUGUCGUCAGCUCGUGUCGUGAGAUGUUGGGUUAAGUCCCGCAACGAGCGCAACCCUUGUCUCUAGUUGCCAGCAUUUAGUUGGGCACUCUAGAGAGACUGCCGGCGUUAAGCCGGAGGAAGGUGGGGAUGACGUCAAGUCCUCAUGGCCCUUAUGCCCAGGGCUACACACGUGCUACAAUGGUCGGUACAGAGGGCUGCGAAGCCGUAAGGUGAAGCCAAUCCCACAAAGCCGGCCUCAGUUCGGAUUGGAGUCUGCAACUCGACUCCAUGAAGGUGGAAUCGCUAGUAAUCGCGGAUCAGCACGCCGCGGUGAAUACGUUCCCGGGCCUU
rnacentral:rRNA from 1 species